rnacentral:snoRNA from 1 species
AACCCAUUGUGAGGGCACCUUCUCAAUAGAUCUUUGUAUCUCUCCCAUGCAUCAUAAAGAGUUUCUAGAUCCAUCUGCAUAAAAGAAGAGAAAUAUUUAAGUAA